UCAAGGCAACUGUCAGACUUCAGUGUACAUUCAAACAACGAAGACGUUUUUACCAAUUAUAAGCUACAGCUAGAGUGAGAGAUCUAAAAAUGAAGACUUUCAUUGUUCUUAUUUUGGUUACAUUAAUUUUGAGCGCAAUUUUCGGUCAAAGCCAAGCCGAUGGAAUAUUUGAUAAAAUUGGCGAUAAAAUUCAACAAAUGGGACAUUCCGUGGGCAAAUUUGUGCAAAAUUCAAUGGAUGCCGUCGAGGAUGCUGUGAAAUCAGCAAAAGAUAAACUUUCGUAAAUAAAAGGCGAUGACGCAUGUUUUAACACAAAAAUAAACUCAUCUGCAGCCUUUGGUUGUCAUUUAUGUUCAGAUUAAGCAAAUA